AUUGAACGCUGGCGGCAGGCCUAACACAUGCAAGUCGAACGAGUGGCGGACGGGUGAGUAAUGUCUGGACAACUGCCUGAUGGAGGGGGAUAACUACUGGAAACGGUAGCUAAUACCGCAUACCCUCAGCUGUGCACAGAUGGGAUAAGCUUGUUGGUGGGGUAACGGCUCACCAAGGCGACGAUCCCUAGCUGGUCUGAGACGAUGACCCGCCAGCCUUGAGCUGAGACACGGUCCAGACGCCUACGGUAGGCAGCAGUGGGGAAUAGUGCACAAUGGGCGCAAGCCUGAUUCAGCCAUGCAGCGUGUAUGAAGAAGGCCUGCGGGUGGUAAAGUACUUUCAGCGGGGAGGCGUUACCCGCAGAAGAAGCACCGGCUAACUCCGUGCGAGCCGCAGCGGUAAUAC
rnacentral:rRNA from 1 species